GACGAACGCUAGCGGCGCGCUUAACACAUGCAAGUCGAGCGGAAAGGCCCUUCGGGGUACUCGAGCGGCGAACGGGUGAGUAACACGUGAGCAACCUGCCCUUGGCUUUGGGAUAACCCC
rnacentral:rRNA from 1 species